rnacentral:rRNA from 1 species
GUUGACGCUGGCGGCAGGCCUAACACAUGCAAGUCGAACGAGUGGCGGACGGGUGAGUAAUGUCUGGGAAACUGCCCGAUGGAGGGGGAUAACUACUGGAAACGGUAGCUAAUACCGCAUACCAUCGGAUGUGCCCAGAUGGGAUUAGCUAGUAGGUGGGGUAACGGCUCACCUAGGCGACGAUCCCUAGCUGGUCUGAGAGGAUGACCAGCCACACUGGAACUGAGACACGGUCCAGACUCCUACGGGAGGCAGCAGUGGGGAAUAUUGCACAAUGGGCGAAAGCCUGAUGCAGCCAUGCCGCGUGUGUGAAGAAGGUCUUCGGAUUGUAAAGCACUUUAAGUGGGGAGGCGUUACCAACAGAAUAAGCACCGGCUAACUUCGUGCCAGCAGCCGCGGUAAUUC